UAACGUAGGGGGCAAGCGUUGGUCCGGAUUUAUUGGGCGUAAAGAGCGUGUAGGCGGUCAGGUAGGUCCGUUGUGAAAACUCGAGGCUCAACCUCGAGACGCCGAUGGAAACCAUCUGGCUAGAGUCCGGAAGAGGAGAGUGGAAUUCCUGGUGUAGCGGUGAAAUGCGCAGAUAUCAGGAAGAACACCCGUGGCUAAGGCGGACUCCUCUAGUACGGUACUGACGCUGAGACGCGAAAAGCGUGGGGAGUGAACAGG
rnacentral:rRNA from 1 species